rnacentral:rRNA from 1 species
GAUGAACGCUGGCGGCGUGCCUAAUACAUGCAAGUCGAGCGAACAGACGAGGAGCUUGCUCCUCUGACGUUAGCGGCGGACGGGUGAGUAACACGUGGAUAACCUACCUAUAAGACUGGGAUAACUUCGGGAAACCGGAGCUAAUACCGGAUAAUAUAUUGAACCGCAUGGUUCAAUAGUGAAUGACGGUUUUGCUGUCACUUAUAGAUGGAUCCGCGCCGCAUUAGCUAGUUGGUAAGGUAACGGCUUACCAAGGCAACGAUGCGUAGCCGACCUGAGAGGGUGAUCGGCCACACUGGAACUGAGACACGGUCCAGACUCCUACGGGAGGCAGCAGUAGGGAAUCUUCCGCAAUGGGCGAAAGCUUGACGGAGCAACGCCGCGUGAGUGAUGAAGGUCUUCGGAUCGUAAAACUCUGUUAUUAGGGAAGAACAAAUGUGUAAGUAACUAUGCACGGCUUGACGGUACCUAAUCAGAAAGCCACGGCUAACUACGUG